rnacentral:rRNA from 1 species
AAAUUGAAGAGUUUGAUCAUGGCUCAGAUUGAACGCUGGCAGCAGGCCUAACACAUGCAAGUCGAACGGUAACAGGAAGCAGCUUGCUGACAGUAGCGGAGACUGGUGAAGUAAUGGCGCAGAAACUGCCUGAUGGAGGGAUAACUACUGGAAACGGUGGCUAAUACCGCAUAACGUCGCAAGACCAAAAGAGGACCUUCAGACUCUUUGCUGCCAUCCACAGAUGUAGCAGAUGGGAUUAGCUUUGUUGGUGAGGUAACGCCGACCGCAAAGGCGACGAUCUAACUGGUCUGAGAGGAUGACCAGCCACACUGGAACUGGAGACACGGUCAGGCUCCUACGGGAGGCAGCAGUAGAGAAUAUUGCUGUACGGGCGCAAGCCUGAUGCGACCAUGCCGCGUGUAUAGAAGAAGGCGCUUCCGGGUUGUAAAGUACUUUCAUGGGAGGUGUUGUGAUUUGGCAGCCAGCAGUGGCGUUACGCACAGAGAAAACUUACCGAAGCACAAUAACUCCGUACUUAGCAGCCGCGGUAGCCACGGAGAGUGCAAGCGUUAAUCGGAAUUACUGGGCGUAAAGCGCACGCAGGCGUGCAUCCAAGUCGGAUGGCAAAAUCCCGGGCUCAGCACAGAACUGCAUUCAAAACUGGCGAGCUUGAGUCUUGUAGAGGGGUAGAAUUCGAGGUGCCGGCGGGAGGAAAUGCAUGCAAGAGAUCUGGAGAAUACUGCGGUGGCGAAAGGCGGCCUGAGACGAGAACUGCGGCGGCUCAGGUGCAGCGUGGGGAACAAACACAGGAUUAGAUACACUGGUGAAGAGGUCACGCCGUAAACGAUACUUGGAGGUUACGUACUGCGCCCCGAGGUGUGGCUUCCAGGAGCUAACGCGUUAAGUGAGCCGCACAGGGAAUUACGGCCUGAAGAUUUGAAAGCUCAAAAUAAUUGACGGGGCCGCGCGCAAGCAAUUUGGAGCAUGUGGUUUAAUUCGAUGCAACGCGAAAAGAACCUUACACAGUCUUGACAUCACGAAAGGAACUUUCCAGGAUGGACUGGUGCCUUCGGGAACUGUGAACAGGUGCUGCGCUGGCGCCGUCGCUCGUGUUGUGAAAUGUUGGGGUUGCAGAAUUACACAACAGAGGCACGCCCUUAUCGCUGUUGCCAGCGGUUAGGUCGAGAACUCAAGAACUGCCUGGCCAGUAAACUGGAGGAAGGUGGGGAUGACGUCAAGUCAUCAUGGCCUUACGACGGGGCUACACGUGCUACAGUAGCGCAUACAAAGAAGGCGACCUCGCGAGAGCAAGAAGCGAGGACCUCCAUAAAAGGGUAAGGAAUGUAGUCGGAUUGGAGUCUACCUUCGAAACUCCAUGAAGUCAGAAUCGCUAAUGUCGUGGAUCAGAAUGCCACGGUGAAUACGUUCCCGGAGCGCAGCACACACCGCCCGUCACACCGUAAGAGUGGGUUGCAAAAAGAAGUAGGUAGCAGCAACCUUCGGGAGGCGCUUACCACUUUGUGAUUCAUGACUGGGAGUGAAGUCGUAACAAGGCAGCAAAUGGGGAACUGCGGUUGGAUCACCUCUCCG